ACCUGCAUUGCUUAUUCAUGUCUCCUGCGUUUAUUUGGUUAACAAAAUCUAGGUUUUGCGGAUGUGAAGAGUCACAGUUCGCAGAAUUUCAGACACUGCAAGCACUUUGCCCUCUGCAUUUUAUUGAGGAGCAAGAUUGGAGAAGAAGAUGCUUUGUAAAGAGCAAGAUGAUGUGGAUGAAGACUGAAGUUGGAGGAAGAACUGAAGAUGUGUGGUUCAACAUCUUCCCUGACAAGAUUCGAAUUAUCAGGCCAAACCAAUCUGGUUAGCCAAACACAUGAUUGAAUUAUCAGGCCAAACCAAUCUUGUUGCAAACAUAUAGUGCUAAGUUCAGUUAUGCCUUUGGUUUGAUUACAGAUAAAAAGGAACUAGGAUACUGAAGUUUUAUUCACACCUGAUAACCCAAUUGAAUAGAGUUAUGAUACUGAAACAUUCCAACCAAUUUAAGUGCUUUCAUAUCCAAUAACUGGCAUCGCAAAACCUGCAAUAGGAAUAAUAAUAAGCACAAGCUAGCUACUAUUCUAAAACCACAAUUGAAUAUCAUAACCAUGAAUGCUGUCUUGAUACUACCCCAUGAACCAUUUGAUAAUCUUAUUUGUCAAGCAGGUAAGAGAAUACUCGAGGACAAUGGCUUGUACAGAAGUUUCAUUCACAAAUAUAUGCAUCUCAGAACAACACAUUAAGACCUAACACAGUUAAUCAUCAUUCUUACACAGGCCCUAUUUUCUGACUACAGACAUAACAACCUUCAAUAAGUUUCACUAGAUGCUCA
rnacentral:lncRNA from 1 species